rnacentral:rRNA from 1 species
UCUAGUUAAUUUUGAUAGGAGCAAUCUGGUCUUAGUAAUUGAAGGAAGUCGAAGGUGUGCUAUAAUGGGGAUUGUGUUUAUGGGUGUAAACGUGAUAAUGCCGAAACUAGUUAAAAUCGUGCCAGCAGCUGCGGUUAUACGAUUAGAGGGGUUGAUGAGUUAGUGGGGAGCUUUAGUCUAAGAAUGGGAGGUGAAAUUCGAAGUUUGAAGUAAGAAGCGGAUUAGAUGUCUUUACGAAGCAGAUUAGAUACCUGUGUAGGAGUGUAAAGUUAAGAUGGGAGGAAUAUUUUAAUAGUGUGGCGGUGCAUCUGAAAGACAGGGGGACUUGGGCUGGGAUAAUUAACCGGAGGGGAAAGGACUGUGUCUUCUUGUAUGAUUGUUUGGACUGAGUACGGUUCGAAACAAAUGACAUAGGGGAGGUUUGUUUGACCUGAGUUUUUGGGGUAUUAAGAAUAAAGGAUUUGUGAGUAGUGGAGAGAGUAUGAACAGAUCAGAUGCGAGUACAUAUCGCCCGUCAACACCCCCAGGGUGUAAGUCGUAACAUAGUGACUUUACUAGAAAGUGAAGUUGCCAGUAGC